UAGGGAAUCUUCCGCAAUGGGCGAAAGCCUGACGGAGCAACGCCGCGUGAGUGAUGAAGGUCUUCGGAUCGUAAAACUCUGUUAUUAGGGAAGAACAAAUGUGUAAGUAACUAUGCACGUCUUGACGGUACCUAAUCAGAAAGCCACGGCUAACUACGUGCCAGCAGCCGCGGUAAUACGUAGGUGGCAAGCGUUAUCCGGAAUUAUUGGGCGUAAAGCGCGCGUAGGCGGUUUUUUAAGUCUGAUGUGAAAGCCCACGGCUCAACCGUGGAGGGUCAUUGGAAACUGGAAAACUUGAUUGCAGAAGAGGAAAGUGGAAUUCCAUGUGUAGCAGUGAAAUGCGCAGAGAUAUGGAGGAACACCAGUGGCGAAGGCGACUUUCUGGUCUGUAACUGACGCUGAUGUGCGAAAGCGUGGGGAUCAAACAGG
rnacentral:rRNA from 1 species